AAAAAUAUGUUUUGCCCCCCUCUAGAAAAAAUCCUGGCGACGCCGCUAUUAUUCAGCCAUAGAGCAAGGACAGAUGAUUCAGCUAACCUCUGUGAAAUAAAGCAGCCAGGAUAUACUGUUCAGGACAAUGUGUUGAAGUCUUCAAUCUGCAGCUUGUUGCUCUGAAGCCAUCAAGUUCUUUCUUUACUCAACCCUUAUUGCCACCCUUCCUGUCGGCAGAUGCCAGAGUAUUCAGAGCUAUCGAGGUCAGCGAAUAAUUAUUUCCGAAAUUAUUAAUUCACUAGAGCUGUUUUGAAUAUAUAUCGAAUAAUUGAUCAACAACCGAACAUUUGAAAAGCAAUUUCAUGAUUCGAAUAGUCGAGUAAAAAAUAUACGCCCUACACAAAUGCCUGUUAUGUUAUUUUAACAGUAAAGUGUGCUUGAUAAUUUUCAUACAACAAAAGGUGUGCACAAAAUGUCAACGACCGCCCCAUAAUUUUGAAUACUGCAGGCAAAACCCUUGCACUCUCUGCCUGGAACAUUUAACUGGUGCAGUAUGCAACUUAAUUUGGCACGUGUAAACAAAUGAUCAGCAAGCUUUGAAUAUUCAAAUAUUCGGUUUAACACAAUUUCGAAUACUAGAAUGCUAAAUUAUUUGAAAAUGAAAAGCCACAUAAGUCACACCAGCUUUUUCCAAGUGAAUUUCGAAAACGUGAUUUCUAGCACGUGAAUGUGGAAUCGCGAUCAAGCAGUUAUAUAAUUCCAAACGUGCAAAUGUUUAGCCCUGACACAGCAGUCAGUUGUUAAGCUUCAUUGGUAUUUAACAGUUUCCAACUUCAAUUUUUCAGAGCUGAACUUACCCGUUUCCUAUGCUUCAAACACUUCAAAUAUUUAUUAAAUGUCACAUUCUGUAUAAUACUAUCAAAGAAAUGACCACUUGAAACAAUUUCUACUGUUUUUGUAUAAUACAUGUAAAUCACAUCCCUGUUAAACUGUCAGUGAAUGAAAUUUUUUGUACACCAGGUUUGUUUAUAGACAGCGGUACUCAUACAGUUCCAUUACAAUUUAUGCAGUGCAAGAAUUCCUUAUAAAUGUUAUAAUGCCAUCACAUUUUACUUAAAAUCAACCUGAUGGCCAUUUACUAACAUUUUUAUAACUUCAAAUAUGACUUGGCCAUGGCCUCAAUCAUUUAAUUUGUUCAUGUUUACCAAUUGCAUGUGUACAACAAUCGAUGUACAAUUGAUUUCAAUUGUGUUAAUUAACUUUCAAUUACAUACAUGUAUCAAUAACUCUUUUAUGAUGAGAAAUACAUUUACCAUUUCAUUUUGUCUCUGCAGCAGAAACAUGUGCAGCCAGAUAUUAAGAUAUCAAUUGUUAAACUUAUCAAAGGUCUAAUAAAGAUUAUUAAAGUAAAAGAAA